GAUGAACGCUGGCGGCGUGCCUAAUACAUGCCAGUCGAGCGAACAGACGAGGAGCUUGCUCCUCUGACGUUAGCGGCGGACGGGUGAGUAACACGUGGAUAACCUACCUAUAAGACUGGGAUAACUUCGGGAAACCGGAGCUAAUACCGGAUAACAUGUUGAACCGCAUGGUUCAACAGUGAAAGACGGUCUUGCUGUCACUUAUAGAUGGAUCCGCGCCGCAUUAGCUAGUUGGUAAGGUAACGGCUUACCAAGGCAACGAUGCGUAGCCGACCUGAGAGGGUGAUCGGCCACACUGGAACUGAGACACGGUCCAGACUCCUACGGGAGGCAGCAGUAGGGAAUCUUCCGCAAUGGGCGAAAGCCUGACGGAGCAACGCCGCGUGAGUGAAGAAGGUCUUCGGAUCGUUAAACUCUGUUAUUAGGGAAGAACAAAUGUGUAAGUAACUAUGCACGUCUUGACGGUACCUAAUCAGAAAGCCACGGCUAACUACGUG
rnacentral:rRNA from 1 species